UGUGUACAACCAGCUGUGGGUGACACAGUGAAGAUCGCAGGCUGGGCUGCAACAACUUAUAUUCCAAACACCAACUUCCCUGGGAAUGACCAAUGUGGAAACGAUCGACCUCCUAAACUACAGUGUGCUGAAACGCAAGUCCACAGCUAUACGAAUAACCCAGAACAUUACUUACGUACCAUGAAGUAUGGUGUGCAGGAAUGUUGUGGAGACUCAGGAGCAGGUCUUGAGUACGAUGGGAAGCUGUAUGGAGUUCUGUCCUCUGGUUGUCCAGAAUUUAUCUUUAAUGAACCAUCAG